AGUUUUGCCAGGAGAAAAGCAAAAAAGAAGGGGGAACGAGUGAGUGAGUGAGCUAGUGGCGAAACCCGCUCACAAUUUGGCAUCAAAUUUUGAAAACCACCCCACACACACACUUUCACCCUCCAGCGCGCCCUCUCAUCAAACUCCAAUUUCAUUUCUCUCUCUCUUCUAAUCCCAAUCACAACGAUUCUGUUCCCUUUCCCUCCAAUUCUAGGGUUUCUCUCAACGCUAGGGUUCCCAAUUCUCUGGUCCCCCCUCCCCCAUCCAUGGCCACCGAAACCCUAGAAGACUCCAAGCCUCCGCUCCACGACGCCAAAUCGCCACCGGCCUCCGAGAUUCCGGAGAAGGAGGCUUCCGCGGAGGCCGCUAAAUCCGAGGAUGAUGUCGACGGAGCAAGCAACCGGGAAGUAGAAGAGGAAGACGCCGGCGAGAAGAAAGAGAUCGACGAGGACGAUGAAGAGGAGAAAGACGACAACGACGAUGAGGAAGAAGUGGAAGAGGAGGAGGACGAAGCGGAAGAGAAAGAGAAAGGGAAGGCUAAGGGAAAGGGACGCGGCAAGGAGACUCCGAAGAAGAGUAAAGCAUCGGAGAAGAAGGAUCCAGUUACGCCGGCGAGUGAGAGGCCAACGAGGGAGAGGAAAACGGUGGAGCGUUACUCUGUGCCCUCGCCGGCCAAGUCUGCGAGAUCCUCCGCUAGUAAAGGUUUCACAAUUGAGAAGGGACGUGGCACGCAGCUAAAGGAUAUACCAAACGGAUAUUACUCUUGCUGACUUAGCCCCCACCCACUUGAUUAGGCUUAGGCUUGCUCUCAACUUUUUUGUGUUUUAUUAUGAAAUCCUUAACUCACCAGAUUGUGCUUGUAAUCUUGCCAAACAGGCUGUGAUAUUUCCCUGCUGCUAUUGUGGCUGCGGUGCUUUAGAUCAUAGUUGACAUGCCAGCGAUAUCAAUUAUUGCCAUAUGCAAAAGCCUAGAAAACUGA